rnacentral:rRNA from 1 species
UNCCAUGUGUAGCGGUGAAAUGCGUAGAUAUAUGGAGGAACNCCGGUGGCGAAAGCGGCUCUCUGGUCUNUCACUGACGCUGAGGCUCGAAAGCGUGGGUAGCGAACAGGAUUAGAUACCCUGGUAGUCCACGCCGUAAACGCUGAGUGCUAGGUGUUAGGUCCUUUCCGGGACUUAGUGCCGACGCUAACGCAUUAAGCACUCCGCCUGGGGAGUACGACCGCAAGGUUGAAACUCAAAGGAAUUGACGGGGGCCCGCACAAGCGGUGCAGCAUGUGGUUUAAUUCGAAGCAACGCGAAGAACCAUACCAGGUCUUGACAUCCCGAUGCCCGCUCUAGAGAUAGAGUUUUACUUUUUGUACAUCGGAGACAGGUGGUGCAUGGUUGUCGUCAGCUCGUGUCGUGAGAUGUUGGGCUAAGUCCCGCAACGAGCGCAACCCUUAUUGUUAGUUGCCAUCAUUAAGUUGGGCACUCUAGCGAGACUGCCGGUAAUAAACCGAAGGAAGGUGGGGAUGACGUCAAAUCAUCAUGCCCCUUAUGACCUGGGCUACACACGUGCUACAAUGGUUGGUACAACGAGUCGCAAGCCGGUGACGGCAAGCUAAUCUCUGAAAGCCAAUCUCAGUUCGGAUUGUAGGCUGCAACUCGCCUACAUGAAGUCGGAAUCGCUAGUAAUCGCGGAUCAGCACGCCGCGGUGAAUACGUUCCCGGGCCUUGUACACACCGCCCGUCACACCACGAGAGUUUGUAACACCCAAAGUCGGUGAGGUAACCAUUUAUG